rnacentral:lncRNA from 1 species
UCAAACCUUAGAACCUUAGGAUAAACACAUUCAUGCAUCAACCAUUCCUUAAACCCCUUUAAAAACUUGCUGGAAAUUCUCAGAAAACCGAAGGAAAGCAAAGAUUGAACUUACCUCUUGAAGGACAAGGGAAACACAGCAAUCAAAGCUUGUAGAAGAGGGAAAAAAAUGACUCUCAGAAGGUCUCCUCGGUUUAAAACCCCCAUAUUCGAACUCCAACU